GGCCGACUAGCUCAGUUGGUUAGAGCGUCGUGCUAAUACGGUCUCCUGCCGUCUGAUACGCGAAGGUCUUGGGUUCGAUCCCCACGUUGGCCA